UACGAAGGGGGCUAGCGUUGCUCGGAAUCACUGGGCGUAAAGCGCACGUAGGCGGCUUUUUAAGUCAGGGGUGAAAUCCUGGAGCUCAACUCCAGAACUGCCUUUGAUACUGAAGAUCUUGAGUUCGGGAGAGGUGAGUGGAACUGCGAGUGUAGAGGUGAAAUUCGUAGAUAUCGCAAGAACACCAGUGGCGAAGGCGGCUCACUGGCCCGAUACUGACGCUGAGGCACGAAAGCGUGGGGAGCAAACAGG
rnacentral:rRNA from 1 species